CCUACGGGGGGCAGCAGUGAGGAAUAUUGGUCAAUGGGAAAGAUCCUGAACCAGCCAAGCCGCGUGAGGGAAGACGGUCCUAUGGAUUGUAAACCUCUUUUGCCGGGGAGCAAAAAGCGGUACGUGUACCGCAUCGAGAGUACCCGGAGAAAAAGCAUCGGCUAACUCCGUGCCAGCAGCCGCGGUAAUACGGAGGAUGCGAGCGUUAUCCGGAUUUAUUGGGUUUAAAGGGUGCGCAGGCGGAUUUUUAAGUCAGCGGUCAAAUCGUGGGGCUCAACCCCAUCCAGCCGUUGAAACUGGGGAUG
rnacentral:rRNA from 1 species